rnacentral:rRNA from 1 species
AUUGAACGCUGGAUGCAGGCCUAACACAUGCAAGUCGAGCGAGCGGCGGACGGGUGAGUAAUGUAUGGGGACUGCCCGCUAGAGGGGGGUAACUACUGGAAACGGUAGCUAAUACCGCAUACUAUCGGAUAACCCAUAUGGGAUUAGCUAGUAGGUGCGGUAAUGGCUCACCUAGGCGACGAUCCCUAGCUGGUCUGAGAGGAUGAUCAGCCACACUGGGACUGAGACACGGCCCAGACUCCUACGGAGGCAGCAGUGGGGAAUAUUGCACAAUGGACGAAAGCCUUAUGCAGCCAUGCCGCGGGUAUGAGGAAGGGCUGUGUAUAGUAGAGAGCUUUCAUGCGGGAGGCGUUACCGGCAGAAAAAGCACCGGCUGACUCCGUGUCAGCAGCCGCGGUAAUAC